CCUACGGGAGGCAGCAGUGAGGAAUAUUGGUCAAUGGGCGGGAGCCUGAACCAGCCAAGUCGCGUGAGGGAAGACGGUCCUACGGAUUGUAAACCUCUUUUGCCGGGGAGCAACGGGGUCCUUGCGAGGGCCCGAUGAGAUUACCCGGAGAAAAAGCAUCGGCUAACUCCGUGCCAGCAUCCGCGGUAAUACGGAGGAUGCGAGCGUUAUCCGGAUUUAUUGGGUUUAAAGGGUGCGUAGGCGGGCUGUUAAGUCAGCGGUAAAAUGUCGGGGCUCAACCCCGGCCUGCCGUUGAAACUGGCGGCAUCGAGUGGGCGAGAAGUAUGCGGAAGGCGUGGUGUAGCGGUGAAAUGCAUAGAUAUCGCGCAGAACUCCGAUUGCGAAGGCAGCAUACCGGCGCCCGACUGACGCUGAGGCACGAAAGCGUGGGUAUCGAACAGGAUUAGAUACCCCUGUAGUC
rnacentral:rRNA from 1 species